UGUUAAUACCAUCAUCGAUUGACGUUACCGACAGAAAAAACACCGGCUAACUCCGUGCCAGCAGCCGCGGUAAUACGGAGGGUGCAAGCGUUAAUCGGAAUUACUGGGCGUAAAGCGCACGCAGGCGGUUAAUUAAGUUAGAUGUGAAAUCCCCGGGCUUAACCUGUGAAUGGCAUCUCAGACUGGUUAGCUAUAGUCUUGUA
rnacentral:rRNA from 1 species